rnacentral:rRNA from 1 species
CCUACGGGUGGCAGCAGUGAGGAAUAUUGGUCAAUGGUCGGGAGACUGAACCAGCCAAGCCGCGUGAGGGAUGAAGGUACAGAGUAUCGUAAACCUCUUUUGUCAGGGAACAAAGACUGGGACGCGUCCCCGGAUGAGUGUACCUGAAGAAAAAGCAUCGGCUAACUCCGUGCCAGCAGCCGCGGUAAUACGGAGGAUGCGAGCGUUAUCCGGAUUUAUUGGGUUUAAAGGGUGCGCAGGCGGGUUGUUAAGUCAGUUGUCAAAGUUUGCGGCUCAACCCCCGAAUUGCAGUUGAAACUGGCAUCCUUGAGUACGGGAGAGGUAGGCGGAAUGCGUGGUGUAGCGGUGAAAUGCAUAGAUAUCACGAAGAACUCCGAUUGCGAAGGCAGCAUGCUGGACUGUAACUGACGCUGAUGCACGAAAGUGUGGGUAUCGAACAGGAUUAGAUACCCGGGUAGUC